rnacentral:misc_RNA from 1 species
AGCAGCCGCGGUAAUUCCAGCUCCAAUAGCGUAUAUUAAAGUUGUUGCAGUUAAAAAGCUCGUAGUUGAAUUUCGAGACCGGUUUAUUGGUCGUGCUUUUGUACGUACUGGUAUUAUUGGUUUCUCCUUUCUGACGAAUCUUAAUGCCAUUAAUUUGGUGUUUUGGGGAAUCAGGACUGUUACUUUGAAAAAAUUGAGUGUUUAAAGCAGGCUCACGCUUGAAUACAUUAGCAUGGAAUAACGGAAUAGGACGUUUGAUUCUAUUUUGUUGGUUUCUAGGAUCGCCGUAAUGAUUAAUAGGGAUAGUUGGGGGCAUUAGUAUUCAAUUGUCAGAGGUGAAAUUCUUGGAUUUAUUGAAGACUAACUACUGCGAAAGCAU